rnacentral:rRNA from 1 species
UACGUAGGGUGCAAGCAUUGUUCGGAAUCACUGGGCGUAAAGGGCGCGUAGGCGGGCCUGUAAGUCGAUUGUGAAAUCCCCGGGCUUAACCUGGGAACUGCAGUCGAAACUGCAAGUCUUGAAUGCUCAAGAGGAUGGCGGAAUUCCUGGUGUAGUAGUGAAAUACGUAGAUAUCAGGAGGAACACCUGAGGCGAAGGCGGCUAUCUGGUGAUGCAUUGACGCUAAGGCGCGAAAGCGUGGGGAUCAAACAGG